AAUCAACGCUGGCGGCGUGCCUAACACAUGCAAGUCGAACGAGAAAGUGGAGCAAUCCAUGAGUACAGUGGCGACCGGGUGAGUAACACGUGAUCAACCUACCCUCGAGUGGGGGAUAACUCCGGGAAACCGGAGCUAAUACCGCAUAAAAUCUUUGGCUCACAUGGGCCGAUGAUCAAAGGAGCAAUUCGCUUGAGGAGGGGGUCGCGGCUGAUUAGCUAGUUGGUAGGGUAAUGGCCUACCAAGGCUGAGAUCGGUAUCCGGCCUGAGAGGGCGCACGGACACACUGGAACUGAAACACGGUCCAGACUCCUACGGGAGGCAGCAGUGGGGAAUUUUGCGCAAUGGGGGAAACCCUGACGCAGCAACGCCGCGUGGAGGAUGAAGUCCCUUGGGACGUAAACUCCUUUCGACCGGGAAGAUACUGACG
rnacentral:rRNA from 1 species